UCACAGACAGUCCAGAAGGUCUGGAGUCCAUCUUAGCUUUCAUUGAUGCUGUCAUCAUAUUGUUAGUGCAUGAGCCAGAAUGGAUGGGUGGUGGUGGCCAUAAGACGACUGUCAACUAAACCAACAACAAAAUUCAUAUUUGCAGUAAUAAAUAAAAUGACUUUUAAACAUG